GACGAACGCUGGCGGCGUGCUUAACACAUGCAAGUCGAACGGAAAGGCCCUGCUUUUGUGGGGUGCUCGAGUGGCGAACGGGUGAGUAACACGUGAGUAACCUGCCCUUGACUUUGGGAUAACUUCAGGAAACUGGGGCUAAUACCGGAUAGGAGCUCCUGCUGCAUGGUGGGGGUUGGAACGUUUCGGCGGUUGGGGAUGGACUCGCGGCUUAUCAGCUUGUUGGUGGGGUAGUGGCUUACCAAGGCUUUGACGGGUAGCCGGCCUGAGAGGGUGACCGGCCACAUUGGGACUGAGAUACGGCCCAGACUCCUACGGGAGGCAGCAGGGGGGAAUAUUGCACAAUGGGCGGAAGCCUGAUGCAGCAACGCCGCGUGCGGGAUGACGGCCUUCGGGUUGUAAACCGCUUUCGCCUGUGACGAAGCGUGAGUGACGGUAAUGAGUAAAGAAGCACCGGCUAACUACGUG
rnacentral:rRNA from 1 species